rnacentral:rRNA from 1 species
AUGAGGGCGGUCACCGGCGCCAUCGUCUCCUCCAAGCCGUGCUCGCUUCUCAAGGCCAAGGUCAUCCUCGACGGAUUCCACAAGAGCUCCGCCUCCAACCUCCCCUCCUCCGACGCAGGCACAUACCUCCGCACCGCCGCCGACGCCGUCGACGAGCUCCGCGAGUUCCGCCGCGACCUACUCAGGGCCCAGCACCAGCACGAGGUCAAGGUCAAGGUGGAUGUGGAGGGGGACCUUGUUCACAGUGAGAGGAAGCGGAGGAACAAGGAAGAGAGGCGUGUCGUCAAGCAGGAGGAGCAACAUGUCCCUUCUUUGAUCCAACUCCAACAGGAGGAGGAGGCGGCGGUGGUGUCCAAAGUAGGGAUCAGUUUGGUUCCCAGGAAGAAGAAGAAGGAGGAGGAGGAGAAAGACAUCGUCAUCAUCAAGCAGGAGGCAGAGGAGGAGGAGGAGGAGCCGGAGCAGCUCAAGAAGAAGCGGAAGCAUGCCGCGCAAGAGUUGGUCCAGGUGAAGAAAGAACAAGUUGAUUUCGUCGAUGCCGAUUUGGGGAGCGACAAGAAGAAGAAGCACAAGAAAAACAAGAGGAGCAGAGAUGGCGACAACGACGCUCAAGAAGAAGGAAAGGUGGAGCAUACCAAGAAGAAGCAGCGCAAGUAG